GGAUGUAAAAGUCGUAACAAGGUUUCCGUAGGUGAACCUGCGGAAGGAUCAUUAUUGUAUAACCGAGAUGCGAGGGCUGUCGCUGACCCGAAAGGUCGUGCACGCCCGAGUGCCCUCACACACAUCCAUCUCACCCCUAUGUGCACCACCGCGUGGGUCCCCCUUUGGCUUGUUCGGAGGGGGGCUUACGUUUUCACACAAACUUUGUAUGCAGUGUAGAAUGUAUUUUUUGUUUUUGCGAUCACGCAAUCAAUACAACUUUCAACAACGGAUCUCUUGGCUCUC
rnacentral:misc_RNA from 1 species